rnacentral:rRNA from 1 species
CCUACGGGCCGCAGCAGUGGGGAAUAUUGGACAAUGGGCGAAAGCCUGAUCCAGCAAUGCCGCGUGUGUGAAGAAGGCCUUAGGGUUGUAAAGCUCUUUCACCGGUGAAGAUAAUGACGGUAACCGGAGAAGAAGCCCCGGCUAACUUCGUGCCAGCAGCCGCGGUAGUACGAAGGGGGCUAACGUUGUUCGGAAUUACUGGGCGUAAAGCGCGCGUAGGCGGGUAGAUAAGUCAGAGGCGAAAUCCCGGGGCUCAACCCCGGAAUUGCCUUUGAUACUGUUUAUCUUGAGUGCAGAAGAGGUAAGUGGAAUUCCGAGUGUAGAGGUGAAAUUCGUAGAUAUUCGGAGGAACACCAGUGGCGAAGGCGGCUUACUGGUCUGCAACUGACGCUGAGGCGCGAAAGCGUGGGGAGCAAACAGGAUUAGAUACCCGUGUAGUC